rnacentral:rRNA from 1 species
GGGCCCGCACAAGCGGUGGAGUAUGUGGUUUAAUUCGAUGCAACGCGAAGAACCUUACCAGGGUUUGACAUCCUGCGAAUCUCUUGGAAACAGGAGAGUGCCUUCGGGAACGCAGUGACAGGUGGUGCAUGGCUGUCGUCAGCUCGUGUCGUGAGAUGUUGGGUUAAGUCCCGCAACGAGCGCAACCCACGUCUUUAGUUGCCAGCAUUUAGUUGGGCACUCUAGAGAGACUGCCGGUGAUAAACCGGAGGAAGGUGUGGAUGACGUCAAGUCAUCAUGCCCCUUACAUCCUGGGCUACACACGUACUACAAUGCUACGGACAAAGGGCAGCAAACUCGCGAGAGCUAGCAAAUCCCAUAAACCGUGGCUCAGUUCAGAUCGUAGGCUGCAACUCGCCUACGUGAAGGAGGAAUCGCUAGUAAUCGC